GUCUGCAGUCAUUCCACACGAAAUGUGCCUGAACUCAUCUGGUCUUGGAAGCUAAGCAUUCUGGUUAGUACUUGUGUGGGAGGCUGCCGAUG
rnacentral:rRNA from 14 species